GGCUUCCCCGCCCGCCUCGGCCGGGUCGGGGGGCGUGCGCCCGGCGUGCGUGGGCCCCGGGCUGCGCUCUCGGCUAGCACCUUGACCGCCGGCUCCACUGCGGACUCAGCUGGGGGUCUUUUGCAGCAGGAAAUGGAAGAAGACGAAAGAGAAGGAAGGAGAAGACGGAAGGAGAGGGAGGAAGAGAAAUGAGACAGAAAGGGAAAGGAGAAAAUGAACACAAAAAAGGGAGAUGGAGGGAGGGUGAAGGAUCAAAAGGGAAGGGGGAAAAAAGGCGGAAGGGGUAAAAGGAAAGAGAAGAGGAAGAAGAAUGAGAAAGAGAAAGAAUGGAAGAGGAGGAGGAAGGAGAAAGGGAAAGACAAAGAGAAGGAAGAAGAAAAGGAGGAAGACUGGUGGGUUUCUGGACAGCUGGAGGAGUCCAAAGCUAACCCACUUGUCUAAGGUCAAGGCUGCCAGGCCCCUAACAUAGUGUAAGGAACUGAUAUUUCCUCUCCCUCACCCCCACUCUGCCAUUUUUGACAUAUGGAUCACUUUGAGUCUAUGAUACCCAGCUUUAUUUGUUUCUGAAAAGCAAGAGAAUUAAAAGUCUAGUUUUUCGAGAAUCCUAGUCAAUGAGGAUAAUCUAGAAGAGACUGCAAAACUAUUUUUGGUCAUUUACUUCUCUAGGGUUGGAUAUUGAGUGAAGAAUUUCUAGUAGAGAAACCUUGAACCCUAGGUCAUACCAUUUACCCCCCAAAGUCCUGGCGUUCAAGGCACAUUCUAAAAAUGGCAAACAGUUGUUCCACUAUGUGUACGAUCUGAAAAUUUGCCCUGAAAACCACAGAUAAUUUUAUCAGUCCCCUGAAUACUACAAGAGAAUACUUAGCAAUGGAUUUCUGCCAAAGAAUAUUUUCUUGGGGAAAAUCUUUAAAUUGAAUACCAUUUCCUAUCCCUGAAGAUUUAAGUCUGAGACUUUAGGACUAGAAAUGUAUUGGGUUUGUAUGUUGAGGGGAAAACAGUUACAAACUUGCCUUGCCCACAUAGUACCUAUCCCAUGUCUUGAGUGGGGAGGAAUAUAUUAUGUGUGUGUGUCACAUGUGGAUAUAUGUAUAUAUCCGUAAUACACAUGCACACAUUUACAUAUAUACCUGUGUGGAAGAAAUAAACAGCAAAACUAUUCUAGUUGGGAACCUCAACCUUUCCCUUUCAGAAUGAGACAAAUCUAAUCUAACCACAAAAUAAACAAGAAAGAAACCAGGGAGGUUAAUAGGAUCCUAGAAAACCUAGAUAUGUAAGACCUAUGGAGAAAAUUGAAUAGGGACAGAAAGGAAUGCAUCUUUUUCUCGGCAGCACAUGGCACCUACACAAAAAUUGACCAUGUAUUAGGGCAUAAAAACCUCACAAUCAAAUGCAAAAAGGCAGAAAUAGUAAAUGCUUCCUUUUUGUACCACAAUGCAGUAAAAAUUAUAUUCCAUAAAGGGCCAGGGAAAGACAGACUAAAAACCAACUGGAAAUUAUACCUGUGUGUGUAUAUGCAUGCACAUUUACACAUACUCUAUAUACACAUUCACAUAUGAGGCACAUAGAUGUUUUAGUGCUGUCAUGGCUAGAUGACUGCAAAUUCUUUAACUUGUAAUAGAAUCACAGAAUUUCAGAGUUGGAAGAGACCCAAAUAGCCAUUUUAUCCAGGUAUGCCUUAUUUCAGCAUUCCUGAACAGCAAUCAUCCAACAGGGAGAUGAAGAUGAGUGCAAUGAAAAAAGUACUAGCAUUUGUCUAGCAUACAUAAAUAAGGACUGAAGAAAGCAAAACGUAUUCUAUCUGAGCCUAUUAUAAAGCAUUUAGCACAGGGCCUGGCAAAGAGUAAGCAAUAUACAAAUGUUAGCAUUAUUGUUAUUGUAUUAUUACUUUCCUUAUAUACAUAUUACAAAGGCUAGUGAAGACUACUGAGAUACUUUCAAGUUCCUGAAUUCAUUUGGUCCUUACUGCAAAAAAAUGUUUUUGGUAUAUACUCAUUCUUUUCAAACUUUAGUCUCAAUUUGAGGGAAAACUAAGUAAUUAUUAGAAUUGUCCAAAAGUAAAAUGAUUUGUCUUGGAAAGAACAUAAGUUUUCCCUCCCUGGAGAUCUUCAAGAAGAAGAUGAAUGACCAGGUUAAUUGUGUUUGUUGUGAGGAAAAUUCUUGAAGAUGAGUUGUUGACCCGCAAGUCCUUUCUAACUCUCCCAGCUCAAAGAUAGCUUUAAAAAAAAUGUUCCUAAAGCUUAAAAUUGCCCCAAAACUUUUGAAACUCUAUAAAGAUACUUAUUGGUGAAAAAUCUGAAAUAAUCUUUAUGUACCAUUUUGGGAAAUGGCCAAACAAGUUGUGGCAUAUCAAUAUAAUAGAAUACAUUUGCUAUUAAAAUGACAUAGAAACAAAAAUAGUAAGCCACAAUAAUCGAAAAGAAACCAACUAGAAGAGUGUUAUACAUUAAUAGAUGUAAAGUGGGUAAGUUGUAAUUUUAAUUCAUUAAUAAUAAUUAGAUAAAUGAAUAUUCCUGAGCUCAGCUCUGAUAAUAAACUUAAAUAAUCCACUUAAUCACUUAGCCUCAGUUUCUUCAUGUGUCAAAGGGGAAUUUUGAGUAGUGAAGUGGCACAGUAGAUAGAGCACCAGGCUUGGAGUCAGACAAGUCAGAGACUCAUCUUCUUGUGUCACUAGCUGUGUGACUCCCGGCAAGUCAUUUAUCUACAUUUGACUUUGUUUUCUUAUUUGUAAGAUGAGCUGGAGAAGGAAAUGGUAAAGCACUCGGGUAUCUUUUCCAAGAGCAUCCCAAAUAGAAUCAUGAAAAGCCAAGCACAACUGAACCGUAACAAAAUGGGGAGUAUAAUAUUUGCCUGGCCAGUAUUACAUAGCAUUUUGUAAACCUCUAACAGGAGAGGGGUGGGACCUGUGAUUUCAUUAAUAUAUAGAAAGUUCUUAAGCAGUCCAAAAGCAGAGGAGGUGGGGGCUUCAGUCAGUGCCCACUACUUAUCCCUAUCUUUUUCAUUAUUGGCUGCUUCUCUUUUCUGGUACUUGGAUUUACCUAUCUGGAAUAUGUAAGGAUGGGACACUAAAUAGUAAGUUUUAGUUAACCAAUAAAAUCAUUUCUACAUUACAAAAAUAUGUUUCAUUUUUACUGUACUAGUCGCACAGAGACCCAGCCAAGAAGUCCUGAAUUCAAAUAUUCCACCAUUAUCAGAGUUAAACUGAGCAUGAAGCUGUUUGGUAAAUUGCUUUUGAACUAAAAGAUAAGAAUUAUACUAUGUGUAUGCAGGAGAGUAGUUUCAGAUAAGUCUCGGCCCAGCACCCCUUCCUUCUAAGUUCUGAAAAAGAGUAUACCUUAGAAGAUAGACAAUUUUCACCGAAUUAUUGUGGAAUUGAAUCUUACCCUUGCUUCCUCAGGAUAUCCUGCCACUUUUGCUUCCUCAGAAAUUAGCUAGAAAAAUAAGGACACAUUUAAAAAAAAAAAAAACACUAAAGAUUCCUCUCUAGAAGGCUAAAAGCUUCAAAUGAACUGAGAUUUAUAAAAAUAUAAAAACUGAAGAAAAAAUACUUUAAACUAAUAUUUAUUCAGAGCUAGAAGAAAAACAAAGCAUAGAAAUAAUUAUACCAGGGUUGAGUUGAGUUAAGAUUAUUCAACCACUUCUAUUUAACCCCUUUAUCCUACUAUUCACCUGGUAUAGAUGGAUUUCUCAAUACUACAUACCUGUUCUAGGAAAUUAUAUAUAAGGAUCUGUACUUCUUGUAUUUAUGGCUAGGUGCCACCAGUUCAAGGAGAUCAAAGCUAAUUUUUUUUCCCUCUCAAGAUAUUUAAAAUAUAGAAAGACAAACAGAUUUUCCUGUGGAAAAGCUUGCAUUAGAGAACCCAAGGGAAAAGGGAAAUGCAGGUUUACCACCUUUGGGUGGAGUUACAGUUAGAGUUAACCUACUUGUCCUAAAGAGAGGGUGAAUGCAGACAUCCAUUUGGAUUGCCCUGAAUGGUUCAGGGAUUCUUUGUAAAGUGUAAGGUGCUGCAGGGGUUCAGAGGAAAUUUUAUCCUACAAGAGGGAACAUGAUCGCCCAGUGAGGUCUCUUAGUAGCAGAAGGAAAGAGUGGGUAGUCAGUCCACCUUGAGCUGGAUAAGUAUUCUUAGCUAUAUGUAUUCCUUAUGGAUCAGUAACACUGCUUCUUUCCUGAUAUUCCUUCUGUCUCAUCUGCCUAAGUAAUCUUGCUAUUGAGAACGAAAAAAGGAAGAGAACAAGUAUUUAUUAAGCAUAUGUGAGGCACCAUGCUAAGCACUUUACAAAUAUUAUCUCAUUUAAUCCUCAACAAUCCUAUAAGAUAAAUACUAUUAUUAUCCUCAUUUUACAGUUGAGAAAACUGAGGCACUCAGCCAUGGUUCACACAGCUAGUAAAUAUCUGAAACUGGAUUUAAACUCGAAUCUUUAUGACUCCAAGCCCAGCAUCCUAUCCAUUGCAGCCAUCAGGAAGCCUGGGGUGCCUUAAACUAAUUGGACUGUCUUUUUUUUUUAAAGUCACCCUAAGGUGUGGCUCAUAAUUCUCUAGGAGAGUUGCUCCCUUCUGAUUUCACUCAGGUAAUUAUUUGUACCUCAUAAAGGAAUCAUCUGGCAUGGCCUGAAUUUUUACAGUUACUUUAACACCUUGUUAUCAUCCCUGGUAGUAUGUUAUUAAUGUUAAGGCGAGCACAAUUAACUCCUUUUUUUGCUUUCAUCCACUCCAAGAACUAUAGUUCCCCCUCAAUGCUAGACUUCUGGAAAAAAUAGUCUACCUUCCCUGCCUCGACCUCUAACCACCUACUCACUCUUCAACUUAAUGUAAUUUGGCUUUGAUUCUUACCACUCUAUAGAAAUUACCCACCCAAAGGUCUGUAAUUAAAAAUUAAUUGCCAAACAAUGGCCUUUUCUAUGUCCUCGUUCUGCAUGACUAUUCUGAACACGUAAGGUUGUUUCAUACCGUUGUCUUAUGUGAGUCUGCCCUCUCUAAUACUCUUUUUGACCUACCUUUCCUUACUUCUCUAUUAGCAUUUCUUCUUAAAGCUAUAAUGUCAUCAUCCACUAAGACUGUUUUCUUACCUCUCUUUAGUGAUUUUAUCCAUACCUACUUCAACCAUUACCUUACCUCUCUUUAGAUAAUUCCAUAUGAGGACUCACUCCAGGGAACUUGUGGGGCAAGGGAAGGACUCUGCCUGCUGCCAAUUUUAUACAGCUUGCUUUCAGAAAAACAUAAUAAAGGUCAUUGCCCACAACUUGAGGAUAUAUGCAGGUAUUUGCAUGCAUAUUUUACUCAUCUUUGCCCAGUACCAAGCACAGUGAGUUUCACAAAGUGGGCAAAUUAA
ensembl:lncRNA